AUACUUUGGUUUCUCUUCAUAUCGAAUAAAUCUUUUGUUUUUGGCUAAAGAUUUCCGUAGAGAGAAACAAGCAUGAGUUUCAUAUGAAUAUGCUGUUCAGCAAUAACAUUUAUAUA